rnacentral:misc_RNA from 1 species
UGGUUCUGGCAUCGAUGAAGAACGCAGCGAAAUGCGAUAAGUAAUGCGAAUUGCAGAAUUCCGUGAGUCAUCGAAUCUUUGAACGCACAUUGCGCCCUUUGGCAUUCCGAAGGGCAUGCCUGUUCGAGCGUCAUUAUCAACCCUCAAGCCUAGCUUGGUGUUGGGCGAUGGUGGUUAGACACCCGCCCCAAAGAUAACGACGGCGUCUGUAAGACUCCCGGUACAACGAGCUUUUCACAAGGCACGUACUGCGGUGGGCUUAGGGACCCGGUCUUAGCCAUUCAUUUUCUCAGGUUGACCUCGGAUCAGGUAGGGAUACCCGCUGA